rnacentral:rRNA from 1 species
UACGUAGGGUGCAAGCGUUGUCCGGAAUUAUUGGGCGUAAAGAGCUUGUAGGCGGUUUGUCGCGUCUGCUGUGAAAUUUCGGGGCUCAACCCCGAACUUGCAGUGGAUACGGGCAGACUAGAGGCAGGUAGGGGAGAAUGGAAUUCCCGGUGUAGCGGUGAAAUGCGCAGAUAUCGGGAGGAACACCGGUGGCGAAGGCGGUUCUCUGGGCCUGACCUGACGCUGAGGAGCGAAAGCGUGGGGAGCGAACAGG